rnacentral:rRNA from 1 species
UACGAGGGGGGCGAGCGUUGUUCGGAAUUAUUGGGCGUAAAGGGUGCGUAGGCGGUUUGGUAAGUCUUGUGUGAAAUCUUCGGGCUCAACUCGAAGUCUGCACGAGAAACUGCCGGGCUUGAGUAUGGGAGAGGUGAGUGGAAUUCCAGGUGUAGCGGUGAAAUGCGUAGAUAUCUGGAGGAACACCGGUGGCGAAGGCGGCAUCCUGGACCGACACUGACACUGAGGAGCGAAAGCCAGGGGAGCAAACGGG